CUUGCUUCUCCGUCCAACUACACCGCAUCUCCUCCAACUCCUCCCUUUGCUUUCUUCUUCUGCGAGAGUUUCUCUUCUUUCCUUUCCUCUUCUUCAUCGUCUUCUACUUCCGUUGAUCCUGCUGUGGCGGCACCUGAUGGCGGUCGAUCGAGCUCGUCUACCCGCACAUGUGUGGUAGGUUGGCAUGGCUUUCGCGAAUCAGUACUACCAGAUCCUUGCUAGUUCCCCUCAGCUUCUCUUCCGCUUCUACAAAGAGGGAAGCACGCUCAGCCGGCUGGAUCAUCGGGGUGAAAUGAUUUCCGUCACCGACAUGGAUAAAGGCAAUCAAGGAGAAGCUUCUUUCCGUUGACUAUAGUGAGUACAAGGCGGAGAUUAAGACAGUGGACGGGUAGAAAUCGAUGAAUGGCUGUUCUUGUGGCGGGGUAUCUCACCGGGAAAGAUGACGCCAAGAAAAAAUUUGCUCAAUUUUUUAUGCUGGCCCCUUAAGAUAAGGGAUACUAUGUUUUGAAUGAUAUAUUUCGUCUUCUUGCUCCUGCA